rnacentral:rRNA from 1 species
GAUGAACGCUGACAGAAUGCUUAACGCAUGCAAGUCUUUGGCGAAGCUGUGCUUGCACAGCCUAGCCAAGGCGGACGGGUGAGUAACGCGUAAGGAACUUGCCCUGCAGUCAGGGAUAACAGACGGAAACGACUGAUAAGACCUGGUAAAGUCAGGCGGACUCAUGUCCAGCCUGAUGAAAAGAGAUGCUGCAGGAGAGCCUUGCGUCCUAUUAGCUUGUUGGUGGGGUAACGGCCCACCAAGGCGAUGAUAGGUAGCCGGCCUGAGAGGGUGGACGGCCACAAGGGGACUGAGAUACGGCCCUUACUCCUACGGGAGGCAGCAGUGGGGAAUAUUGGACAAUGGGGGCAACCCUGAUCCAGCAAUUCUGUGUGCACGAUGAAGGUUUUCGGAUUGUAAAGUGCUUUCAGAAGGGAAGAAAAAAAUGACGGUACCUGCAGAAGAAGCGACGGCUAAAUACGUG